rnacentral:misc_RNA from 1 species
CCGAGUUUACAACUCCCAAACCCCUGUGAACAUACCUAUAUGUUGCCUCGGCGGAUCAGCCCGCGCCCCGUAAAACGGGACGGCCCGCCGCAGGAUCCACAAACUCUGUUUUUAUUGUAACUUCUGAGUAACAAAACAAAUAAUCA